UAAUUUAGCUUCAAUUUGAGAAAGAUUAGA
rnacentral:piRNA from 1 species